rnacentral:tRNA from 1 species
ACCGUAGCUCAGCUGGUUAGAGCGCAGGACUCAUAAGCCUGAGGUCACUGGUUCAAUCCCAGUCGGU